rnacentral:rRNA from 1 species
GACGAACGCUGGCGGCGUGCUUAACACAUGCAAGUCGAACGGUGAAGCGCCUUCCUUUUUGGUGGGUGUGGAUGAGUGGCGAACGGGUGAGUAACACGUGAGUAACCUGCCCCCUUCUUCUGGAUAACCGCAUGAAAGUGUGGCUAAUACGGGAUAUUCUGGGUCUGUCGCAUGAUGGGUCUGGGAAAGAUAUUGUUUCGGUGGGGGAUGGGCUCGCGGCCUAUCAGCUUGUUGGUGGGGUGAUGGCCUACCAAGGCGGUGACGGGUAGCCGGCCUGAGAGGGUGGACGGUCACACUGGGACUGAGACACGGCCCAGACUCCUACGGGAGGCAGCAGUGGGGAAUAUUGAACAAUGGGCGCAAGCCUGAUGCAGCGACGCCGCGUGAGGGAUGGAGGCCUUCGGGUUGUGAACCUCUUUCGCCAGUGAAGCAUGCCUGCCUCGUUUGUGGGUGGGUUGACGGUAGCUGGAUAAGAAGCGCCGGCUAACUACGUG